UUUCUCUUGGAAGAUAAUGACGGUACAAGAGGAAUAAGGGGCGGCAAACUUCGUGCCAGCAGCCGCGGUAAUACGAGGGCCCCAAGCGUUAUCCGGAAUUACUGGGCGUAAAGCGUCUGUAGGGGGUUUUUUAAGUUUCGUAUGAAACUCCAGGGCUCAACCCUGGAUUGUGCGAAAAACUGGGGAACUUGAGUGUGGGAGAGGCAAGCAGAACGGUAUGAGUAGGGGUGCAAUCCGUUGAUACAUACCAGAAUACCAAAAGCGAAGGCAGCUUGCUGGAACACUACUGACACUGAGAGACGAAAGCGUGGGGAGCGAAAGGGAUUAGAUACCCCUGUAGUCCACGCCCUAAACGAUGGAUGCUAGGUGUUGGACGUAAGUUCAGUGCUCAAGCUAACGCAUUAAGCAUCCCGCCUGAGGAGUACGGCCGCAAGGUUAAAACUCAAAUGAAUAGACGGGGACCCGCACAAGCAGUGGAUCAUGUGGUUUAAUUCGACAAUAAACGAGGAACCUCACCUAGGCUUGACAUUGAUAGAAUCCACCAGAAAUGGAGGAGUGCCCGCAAGGGAGCUUGAAAACAGGCGCUGCAUGGUUGUCGUCAGCUCGUGCCUUGAGGUGUUCGGUUAAGUCCGUUAACGAGCGCAACCCACGUCGUUAGUUACUAUGUCUAACGAGACUGCUUGAGUUAAUCAAGAGGAAGGUGUGGAUGACGUCAAAUCAGCAUGGCCCUUAUGCCUAGGGCUACACAC
rnacentral:rRNA from 1 species